rnacentral:rRNA from 1 species
GUGGGGAAUAUUGGACAAUGGGCGAAAGCCUGAUCCAGCAAUGCCGCGUGAGUGAUGAAGGCCUUAGGGUUGUAAAGCUCUUUUACCCGGGAAGAUAAUGACUGUACCGGGAGAAUAAGCCCCGGCUAACUCCGUGCCAGCAGCCGCGGUAAUACGGAGGGGGCUAGCGUUGUUCGGAAUUACUGGGCGUAAAGCGUACGUAGGCGGCUUGGUAAGUUAGAGGUGAAAGCCUGGGGCUCAACCCCAGAAUUGCCUUUAAGACUGCCUCGCUUGAACGUCGGAGAGGUGAGUGGAAUUCCGAGUGUAGAGGUGAAAUUCGUAGAUAUUCGGAAGAACACCAGUGGCGAAGGCGGCUCACUGGACGACUGUUGACGCUGAGGUACGAAAGCGUGGGGAGCAAACAGGAUUAGAUACCCUUGUAGUCC